UCCGUAGGCGGACUUAUAAGUCAGUGGUGAAAGCCUGUCGCUUAACGAUAGAACUGCCAUUGAUACUGUAAGUCUUGAGUAUAUUUGAGGUAGCUGGAAUAAGUAGUGUAGCGGUGAAAUGCAUAGAUAUUACUUAGAACACCAAUUGCGAAGGCAGGUUACCAAGAUAUAACUGACGCUGAGGGACGAAAGCGUGGGGAGCGAACA
rnacentral:rRNA from 1 species